rnacentral:antisense_RNA from 1 species
AACUGACUCCCCCUCCGGUUACCCUAGUAAUUUUUGUUGAUCAUUUAUAUGACCCUUUAGGACAAGGACAUCUGAGGUGAACAUCCAUAGUAUCAUACAAAUUUCUCAGCUGCCUCCUCCAAAACUGGCAUCAGCAGAAGAGCAAUUCUGCAUGAGCUCAUGAAUGGCUGCUGUGGAAAAUUACUGACAUCACCAGCUGAAUAACAGGCUAUCUGGAGAGUAAGCAGAUGAAACUGAUGUUAAAUUAUCAAAUGUACAAGAUUUUGGGCUCCUGCCAAAACCUUCAUUGAGAACUAAGAAGAGAAAAAGUGAAAACACAGAGCUUUUUUUAAGCUUCUGAGCCAGCAGGCUGUUCCUACAUCGACUCCAGGCACAGAAAGAUGGCUGUAAAAUAAAAGAGAUGAUAAUCUCCUCACUUCCUAAUA